rnacentral:rRNA from 1 species
UACGAAGGGGGCUAGCGUUGCUCGGAAUCACUGGGCGUAAAGCGCACGUAGGCGGAUAUUUAAGUCAGGGGUGAAAUCCCAGAGCUCAACUCUGGAACUGCCUUUGAUACUGGGUAUCUUGAGUAUGGAAGAGGUAAGUGGAAUUGCGAGUGUAGAGGUGAAAUUCGUAGAUAUUCGCAGGAACACCAGUGGCGAAGGCGGCUUACUGGUCCAUAACUGACGCUGAGGUGCGAAAGCGUGGGGAGCGAACAGG